rnacentral:lncRNA from 1 species
UUUUAAAAUCCCUACAUUUUUCUUGAGUUAGUGUAAAUAGUCCCUGUUGUCAAAUUUCUAACGUGAUGCCAAUGUUGGCGGUUCAAUCUCGCCGGAAAACGGCGGAGAACUUCACCACGAACUUUCUCCGCAGCUUCGUAGAUGCGGAUCGCCGGUGUUCGUCACACUUCCGGUGAAAUAUGUUGGUUUAGAGGGGAAGAUUUGAAGGCCGAAAGCGAUGAUGUUAUCGUUGAAAGCGCUUGUUGUUGCGGGUGUGGAAGGUGUUGUGGUGGAGAUUUGGUGGGGUGGGGUUGAACUUGUUAUGAUGGCCUGUGUUUCAUCAACAUGACACUGAUGGCAGGGACCAAUUGCACUAACGGAGAAAAAAUGUAGGGAUUUUAAAAACAUUCAUUGAAAUGUAGGGACUAUUUUCAAAAUCGCGCAAAAUGUAGGGACCAAAAACAUAUUUAACCCUU